UACGUAGGGUGCAAGCGUUAAUCGGAAUUACUGGGCGUAAAGCGUGCGCAGGCGGUUUCGUAAGUCUGUCGUGAAAUCCCCGGGCUUAACCUGGGAAUGGCGAUGGAGACUGCGAGGCUAGAGUUUGGCAGAGGGGGGUAGAAUUCCACGUGUAGCAGUGAAAUGCGUAGAUAUGUGGAGGAACACCGAUGGCGAAGGCAGCCCCCUGGGAUGUGACUGACGCUCAUGUACGAAAGCGUGGGGAGCAAACAGG
rnacentral:rRNA from 1 species